AAAUUUUUAAGAUUCUGUCCUUCCACUGCUUUCAAAUGACACUGACAACAGUGGAAUCAAAGGACAUGUCUUCGCUCAGAAUGCUACACCAAUGCCAUUAUAGGUUUAUUUAAUCUGGUAGUAGAGUUGAGACCAUAUGAGGCUCUUACUCUAUUCAGGAAAAGUUAACGGUUCCCUGCAGGACUAUAUAACUCUUCUUUACUUACAUUAGGAAUAGUUUGAUUAUAGUAAUACCCUGGCACUGCAGCUCUGGAAAAGACAUUCAUCAUGUCUUUCUUCUUCUUGUUCACUGGAAUUAUGCAAAAAUGGUGUGUGAGAAGAAAUUUGAAAUGCACUUUUAAAAUUAUAUGUUACAGAAAUUCUGAGAAGUCACAGAGGAUUCUUCUGAAUUAGCUUUCUUAUUGAAAUAUGCAGUUUAUUACAGUGAGAAGGGGCUCUAAAGAGCAAAUAAAAAAAGUCUGGGUGUAGUGACUUAGUGUUUACAGAAUAUAACUUACAAGACUGAUUGCAUGAUAUAUUACUUCUUUCAUUGUGAGCCACAAAACAGGUAGAGGCAUGGUAGACUAAUUUGGUUUAUAUAUUCAGCUGUAGGGCUAGACACUGCAUCAUUCUUUUCAUAAAGCAGGGGCUGGAGGCAUGUGGAGCCUGUAGCCAUGACAACAAUAAACCAGCUGAGAGCCUGAGCUGCAAGUAAGAAACUCAGCCUUGUCUCCAUCCCUUCCUGCUCAUGACCCGACUCUCCUUGCUCUCUGGAUGGGGGGCUGGGUUCUCAUGAAUGAUCUAUUGAACAGAGAUAGCAGCCUAUACAAAGCAACUAAGACAGAAAGACAGAAGGAAAGGAAAGGAAGGAAGGAAGGAAGGAAGGAAGGAAGGAAGGAAGGAAGGAAGGAAGGAAGGACGGACGGACGGACGGACGGACAACAGGGUGGAAGAAGACAAGAAAGCUUCCCUGUCGUGCCUAGGAAAGAAAAAUGGCUUCAGCUUGAGCGUGACUGUAAACUUUUCAAAGAAAAGUGAAAAAGAAAAAGAAACGAUGAAAAUAUUAUUUUUAGUAAACAAUGUGAGAAGAAGCACAGAAAAGAAAGUGAAUGCAGAGACAGACAUACAAAUUGCAAUGAAGAACACGAUUUCUUCCAAGCUGGUUGCUGUGACUAGUCACACAUCGGUAAGACACAGGUCUGGCUUUUCUUUGAGGGCAAUGUAUUCAUCCAUUUAUAUCCAAAGCUUUUUCAUGCAUGAGAAAAGGUUUAGGGCCAAGGUUUUCAAUAAAGACUAAUGAUUUUGAUGUCUCA
rnacentral:lncRNA from 1 species